rnacentral:rRNA from 1 species
GUGUCAGCCGCCGCGGUAAUACGGAGGGUGCAAGCGUUAAUCGGAUUUACUGGGCGUAAAGCGCACGUAGGUGGUUUGUUAAGUCGGAUGUGAAAUCCCCGGGCUCAACCUGGGAGCGGCAUUCGAUACUGGCAAACUGGAGUACGAGAGAGGGGGGUGGAAUUCCAGGUGUAGCGGUGAAAUGCGUAGAUAUCUGGAGGAACACCGGUGGCGAAGGCGGCCCCCUGGCUCGAUACUGACACUGAGGUGCGAAAGCGUGGGGAGCAAACAGGAUUAGAUACCCCCGUAGUCC